AUUGAACGCUGGCGGCAUGCCUUACACAUGCAAGUCGAACGGCAGCACGGGAGCUUGCUCCUGGUGGCGAGUGGCGAACGGGUGAGUAAUACAUCGGAACGUACCCUGAAGUGGGGGAUAACGUAGCGAAAGUUACGCUAAUACCGCAUAUUCUGUGAGCAGGAAAGAGGGGGAUCGCAAGACCUCUUGCUUUAGGAGCGGCCGAUGUCGGAUUAGCUAGUUGGUGAGGUAAAGGCUCACCAAGGCGACGAUCCGUAGCGGGUCUGAGAGGAUGAUCCGCCACACUGGGACUGAGACACGGCCCAGACUCCUACGGGAGGCAGCAGUGGGGAAUUUUGGACAAUGGGCGCAAGCCUGAUCCAGCCAUGCCGCGUGAGUGAAGAAGGCCUCGGUGUAAGA
rnacentral:rRNA from 1 species